ACAUCUGUGCAUCACUUCAUCCUGACAUCUCUUGCCACUGCUCCUCCUUACAAUGAAGGCUACACAGGAGCCCCAUUGUUCUGGGAUAGUCUUUGGCUUGCUGUAGACUGAUCAGCCCUGGCUUUAGCCAGCCACUGGGGCUGGCAUAUCCUGGUACCCUCGGCUGAGUCUGAGCCUCGUCUGGCUUUCUGGGACAAUACUUGCCGGAGGAAGGAGCAGCAAGGAUUCUGCAUGGGAUUCUAGGCUCACCCCUUCCACUCAAACACAGUUUGGCAAACUCGAUGCUGGAACCAUCACCAGGCAAGAUCACCAGUAAGACACUCCUGCAAGGUGGAAGCCACUGAGGAUAUUCUGCUUUGGCGCCCAACUCCACUCCAGAUCAUCUGACUCUUCUUGAGUGAACCAAAGUUUCCCUGAGUCUACAUUUUGCUCAUUUUGAAAGGGUGGGUUUGAAAACAAUU